rfam:Vigna angularis cultivar Jingnong 6 chromosome 5, whole genome shotgun sequence.
AUCUGGUGGUGUGGGCAGCUUGCACAAAGCUUCUUGAAUCUUUCCCAAUAUUCAUAUAAGCUCUCUCCACCAAAUUGCCUAAUCCCAGAUAUGUCUUUUCUGAUAGCU